CCUACGGGUGGCAGCAGUGGGGAAUAUUGGGCAAUGGGCGCAAGCCUGACCCAGCAACGCCGCGUGAAGGAAGAAGGCUUUCGGGUUGUAAACUUCUUUUGUCAGGGAAGAGUAGAAGACGGUACCUGACGAAUAAGCCACGGCUAACGACGUGCCAGCAGCCGCGGUAAUACGUAGGUGGCAAGCGUUAUCCGGAUUUACUGGGUGUAAAGGGCGUGUAGGCGGGAAUGCAAGUCAGAUGUGAAAACCGUGGGCUCAACCCAUGGCCGGCAUUUGAAACUGUUGUUCUUGAGUGUUGGAGAGGCAGGCGGAAUUCCUGGUGUAGCGGUGAAAUGCGUAGAUAUACGGAGGAACACCAGUGGCGAAGGCGGCCUGCUGGACAGUAACUGACGCUGAGGCGCGAAAGCGUGGGGAGCAAACAGGAUUAGAUACCCGGGUAGUC
rnacentral:rRNA from 1 species